rnacentral:rRNA from 1 species
GAGUUUGAUCAUGGCUCAGAAUGAACGCUGGCGGCGUGCCUAACACAUGCAAGUCGAACGAGAAAGCCCCUUCGGGGGUAAGUAGAGUGGCGCACGGGUGAGUAACGCGUGGAUAAUCUACCUACGAGUUCGGGAUAACUUCGCGAAAGUGGAGCUAAUACCGGAUGGUCUGGCAAUUAUAUAUUGAUUGUCGGUAAAGAUAGCCUCUUCCUGAAAGCUAUUGCUUGUAGAUGAGUCCGCGUCUCAUUAGCUUGUUGGCAGGGUAACGGCCUACCAAGGCGACGAUGAGUAGCUGGUCUGAGAGGAUGAUCAGCCACACUGGAACUGAAACACGGUCCAGACUCCUACGGGAGGCAGCAGUGGGGAAUAUUGGGCAAUGGGCGCAAGCCUGACCCAGCAACGCCGUGUGAGGGAUGAAGGUCUUCGGAUUGNAAACCUCUGUCAGAAGGGAAGAAGUGCACGAGGUCCAAUAGGCCUUGUGUUUGACGGUACCUUCAGAGGAAGCACCGGCUAACUCCGUGCCAGCCGCCGCGGUAAUAC